rnacentral:rRNA from 1 species
UCGGGGCCCGAGUUGUAAUUUGUAGAGGAUGCUUCGGCGUUGGCGCCGCCCAAAGUUCCUUGGAACGGGACGUCGUAGAGGGUGAGAGCCCCGUGACCGGGCGGAUGCCUUCGCCAUGUGAAGCUCCUUCGACGAGUCGAGUUGUUUGGGAAUGCAGCUCAAAACGGGAGGUAAAUUUCUUCCAAAGCUAAAUACCGGCCGGAGACCGAUAGUGCACAAGUAGAGUGAUCGAAAGAUGAAAAGCACUUUGGAAAGAGAGUCAAACAGCGCGUGAAAUUGUUGAAAGGGAAGCGCUUGCGGUCAGACUUGGCCGUCGUUGCUCGGGGGGUCCUUCGCGACCCUUCUGUUCUUCGGCGGCUGGGCCAGCAUCGACUCGGGCGGCUGGAUAAAAGCUGGCGGAACGUAGCUCUCUCCGGGGAGUGUUAUAGCCGCCAGCAGAAUGUGGCCAGCCUGGGUCGAGGUCUGCGCAUCUGCUAGGAUGCUGGCGUAAUGGCCCCAAGCGGCCCGUCUUGAAACACGGACCAAGGAGUCUAACAUUCGUGCGAGUGUUCGGGUGUCAAACCCGUGCGCGCAAUGAAAGUGAACGGAGGUGGGAACCCUUACGGGCGCACCAUCGACCGAUCCUGAUGUCUUCGGAUGGAUUUGAGUAUGAGCACGUAUGUUGGGACCCGAAAGAUGGUGAACUAUGCCUAAGCAGGGCGAAGCCAGAGGAAACUCUGGUGGAGGCUCGCAGCGGUUCUGACGUGCAAAUCGAUCGUCAAAUUUGGGUAUAGGGGCGAAAGACUAAUCGAACCA